UUAAGCGACUAAGCGUACACGGUGGAUGCCCUGGCAGUCAGAGGCGAUGAAGGACGUGCUAAUCUGCGAUAAGCGCCGGUAAGGUGAUAUGAACCGUUAUAACCGGCGAUUUCCGAAUGGGGAAACCCAGUGUGAUUCGUCACACUAUCAUUAACUGAAUCCAUAGGUUAAUGAGGCGAACCGGGGGAACUGAAACAUCUAAGUACCCCGAGGAAAAGAAAUCAACCGAGAUUCCCCCAGUAGCGGCGAGCGAACGGGGAGGAGCCCAGAGCCUGAAUCAGCAUGUGUGUUAGUGGAAGCGUCUGGAAAGGUGCGCGAUACAGGGUGACAGCCCCGUACACAAAAGCGCAUGUGCUGUGAGCUCGAUGAGUAGGGCGGGACACGUGGUAUCCUGUCUGAAUAUGGGGGGACCAUCCUCCAAGGCUAAAUACUCCUGACUGACCGAUAGUGAACCAGUACCGUGAGGGAAAGGCGAAAAGAACCCCGGCGAGGGGAGUGAAAAAGAACCUGAAACCGUGUACGUACAAGCAGUGGGAGCACAGGUUUACCUGUGUGACUGCGUACCUUUUGUAUAAUGGGUCAGCGACUUAUAUUCUGUAGCAAGGUUAACCGUAUAGGGGAGCCGUAGGGAAACCGAGUCUUAACCGGGCGUUAAGUUGCAGGGUAUAGACCCGAAACCCGGUGAUCUAGCCAUGGGCAGGUUGAAGGUUGGGUAACACUAACUGGAGGACCGAACCGACUAAUGUUGAAAAAUUAGCGGAUGACCUGUGGCUGGGGGUGAAAGGCCAAUCAAACCGGGAGAUAGCUGGUUCUCCCCGAAAGCUAUUUAGGUAGCGCCUCGUGAAUUCAUCUCCGGGGGUAGAGCACUGUUUCGGCUAGGGGGCCAUCCCGGCUUACCAACCCGAUGCAAACUGCGAAUACCGGAGAAUGUUAUCACGGGAGACACACGGCGGGUGCUAACGUCCGUCGUGAAGAGGGAAACAACCCAGACCGCCAGCUAAGGUCCCAAAGUCAUGGUUAAGUGGGAAACGAUGUGGGAAGGCCCAGACAGCCAGGAUGUUGGCUUAGAAGCAGCCAUCAUUUAAAGAAAGCGUAAUAGCUCACUGGUCGAGUCGGCCUGCGCGGAAGAUGUAACGGGGCUAAACCAUGCACCGAAGCUGCGGCAGCGAACGUAUCACUUAAAGCGAUUUACGGAGUUGACGAUUGACGGAGCGAAGCGACGUCAAAGCGUAUACAAAGUCGAGUCGGUUUAGGGAUACGUUCGUUGGGUAGGGGAGCGUUCUGUAAGCCUGUGAAGGUGGUGUGAGGCAUGCUGGAGGUAUCAGAAGUGCGAAUGCUGACAUAAGUAACGAUAAAGCGGGUGAAAAGCCCGCUCGCCGGAAGACCAAGGGUUCCUGUCCAACGUUAAUCGGGGCAGGGUGAGUCGACCCCUAAGGCGAGGCCGAAAGGCGUAGUCGAUGGGAAACGGGUUAAUAUUCCCGUACUUGGUGUUACUGCGAAGGGGGGACGGAGAAGGCUAUGUUGGCCGGGCGACGGUUGUCCCGGUUUAAGCGUGUAGGUGUGUGUUCCAGGUAAAUCCGGUUCACUUUAACACUGAGGCGUGACGACGAGGCACUACGGUGCUGAAGCAACAAAUGCCCUGCUUCCAGGAAAAGCCUCUAAGCAUCAGGUAACACGAAAUCGUACCCCAAACCGACACAGGUGGUCAGGUAGAGAAUACCAAGGCGCUUGAGAGAACUCGGGUGAAGGAACUAGGCAAAAUGGUGCCGUAACUUCGGGAGAAGGCACGCUGACACGUAGGUGAAGUGAUUUACUCAUGGAGCUGAAGUCAGUCGAAGAUACCAGCUGGCUGCAACUGUUUAUUAAAAACACAGCACUGUGCAAACACGAAAGUGGACGUAUACGGUGUGACGCCUGCCCGGUGCCGGAAGGUUAAUUGAUGGGGUCAGCGCAAGCGAAGCUCCUGAUCGAAGCCCCGGUAAACGGCGGCCGUAACUAUAACGGUCCUAAGGUAGCGAAAUUCCUUGUCGGGUAAGUUCCGACCUGCACGAAUGGCGUAAUGAUGGCCAGGCUGUCUCCACCCGAGACUCAGUGAAAUUGAACUCGCUGUGAAGAUGCAGUGUACCCGCGGCAAGACGGAAAGACCCCGUGAACCUUUACUAUAGCUUGACACUGAACAUUGAGCCUUGAUGUGUAGGAUAGGUGGGAGGCUUUGAAGUGUGGACGCCAGUCUGCAUGGAGCCGACCUUGAAAUACCACCCUUUAAUGUUUGAUGUUCUAACGUGGACCCGUAAUCCGGGUUGCGGACAGUGUCUGGUGGGUAGUUUGACUGGGGCGGUCUCCUCCUAAAGAGUAACGGAGGAGCACGAAGGUUGGCUAAUCCUGGUCGGACAUCAGGAGGUUAGUGCAAUGGCAUAAGCCAGCUUGACUGCGAGCGUGACGGCGCGAGCAGGUGCGAAAGCAGGUCAUAGUGAUCCGGUGGUUCUGAAUGGAAGGGCCAUCGCUCAACGGAUAAAAGGUACUCCGGGGAUAACAGGCUGAUACCGCCCAAGAGUUCAUAUCGACGGCGGUGUUUGGCACCUCGAUGUCGGCUCAUCACAUCCUGGGGCUGAAGUAGGUCCCAAGGGUAUGGCUGUUCGCCAUUUAAAGUGGUACGCGAGCUGGGUUUAGAACGUCGUGAGACAGUUCGGUCCCUAUCUGCCGUGGGCGCUGGAGAACUGAGGGGGGCUGCUCCUAGUACGAGAGGACCGGAGUGGACGCAUCACUGGUGUUCGGGUUGUCAUGCCAAUGGCACUGCCCGGUAGCUAAAUGCGGAAGAGAUAAGUGCUGAAAGCAUCUAAGCACGAAACUUGCCCCGAGAUGAGUUCUCCCUGAGACUUAGAGUCUCCUGAAGGAACGUUGAAGACGACGACGUUGAUAGGCCGGGUGUGUAAGCGCAGCGAUGCGUUGAGCUAACCGGUACUAAUGAACCGUGAGGCUUAACCU
rnacentral:rRNA from 1 species